AGUGAACGCUGGCGGUAGGCCUAACACAUGCAAGUCGAACGGCAGCACAGUAAGAGCUUGCUCUUACGGGUGGCGAGUGGCGGACGGGUGAGGAAUACAUCGGAAUCUACUUUUUCGUGGGGGAUAACGUAGGGAAACUUACGCUAAUACCGCAUACGACCUACGGGUGAAAGCAGGGGAUCUUCGGACCUUGCGCGAUUGAAUGAGCCGAUGUCGGAUUAGCUAGUUGGCGGGGUAAAGGCCCACCAAGGCGACGAUCCGUAGCUGGUCUGAGAGGAUGAGCGGCCGCACUGGAACGGAGACACGGUCCAGACUCCUACGGGAGGCAGCAGUGGGGAAUAUUGGACAAUGGGCGCAAGCCUGAUCCAGCCAUACCGCGUGGGUGAAGAAGGCCUUCGGGUUGUAAAGCCCUUUUGUUGGGAAAGAAAAGCAGCAGGUUAAUACCCCGCUGUUCUGACGGUACCCAAAGAAUAAGCACCGGCUAACUUCGUG
rnacentral:rRNA from 1 species